UAGAUGAAAGCUAGUUGGUUUUAGCGCUUAGCUGUUAACUAAGAGUUUGUAGGUUCGAAGCCUUCUCAUCUAG
rnacentral:tRNA from 4 species